rnacentral:rRNA from 1 species
UGGCGAACGGGUGAGUAACACGUGGGUGAUCUGCCCUGCACUUUGGGAUAAGCCUGGGAAACUGGGUCUAAUACCGGAUAGGACGAUGGUUUGGAUGCCAUUGUGGGAAGUUUUUCGGUGUGGGAUGAGCUCGCGGCCUAUCAGCUUGUUGGUGGGGUAAUGGCCUACCAAGGCGUCGACGGGUAGCCGGCCUGAGAGGGUGUACGGCCACAUUGGGACUGAGAUACGGCCCAG